rnacentral:misc_RNA from 1 species
AACGCACAUUGCGCCCAUUAGUAUUCUAGUGGGCAUGCCUGUUCGAGCGUCAUUUCGACCAUUAAGCCUUGUUGCUUAGCGUUGGGAAUCUACUGGCCUGGCCUGUAGCUCCUCAAAGUUAGUGGCGGAGCUAGUGCAUACUCUAGGCGUAGUAAUAUAUCAUCUCGCCUUUGUAGUUGCCUUGGCGCUUGCCGUAAAACACCCAAUUUUAAUAGGUUUGACCUCGGAUCAGGUAAGAAUACCCGCUGAACUUAA